rnacentral:lncRNA from 1 species
UUUGGAUUCCUAACCCAUUGCUGAAGUCAGAUGACAACACAUUUGCAGUUCCUGGCACCCCAAUCCCCUGCUGUCAGGAUUGUAAAUGAUGCCACUUUUCAACAAGCAGCGAUCCAGUAAGGGGAUUAGAGGCAUGAAUUUUAACUGACAAAAAAAUGAAUUUGAAGGUGAUGACAGGGGAGUUUAAGGAGCACACAAAAGAUUAGCAUUAUCUCCUCAGCAGAAUGUGACAAAACAUUACUGGGUUAUGUGAAACAUUUCCAAGAUGAAUUGAAGACCAAGCUGAACAGAGAAAGAUGGGCAGACACUACACUGCUGGCUUUGAAUAUGAAGGAAGGGCCCACAGAUCAAGGAAUGUAGGUGAAUUAUAGAAGCUGGAAAAGGCAAUGGGAUGGAUUCCUCCCUACAGUCCCCAGAAGGAAUAGAGCCCUGCUGACAUUUUGACUGUAGCCCAGUGAAAUCUAUUUUGUAUUUCUGACCUCCAGACCUAUGAGAUAAUAAAUAUCUGUUGUCUUAAGCUACUAGGUUUGUGGUAAUUUAUUACAGAACUAAUAAGAAACUAAUACAUUAGGAUGUCACAUAAACAUCGGAUACUUAGACAUGAUUUGGGUGACCUCAGC